rnacentral:rRNA from 1 species
GAUGAACGCUAGCGGGAGGCCUAACACAUGCAAGCCGAGCGGUAUUGUUUCUUCGGAAAUGAGAGAGCGGCAUACGGGUGCGGAACACGUGUGCAACCUGCCUUUAUCUGGGGGAUAGCCUUUCGAAAGGAAGAUUAAUACUCCAUAACAUAUUGAUUGGCAUCAAUUGAUAUUGAAAGCUCCGGCGGAUAGAGAUGGGCACGCGCAAGAUUAGCUAGUUGGUGAGGUAACGGCUCACCAAGGCGAUGAUCUUUAGGGGGCCUGAGAGGGUGAUCCCCCACACUGGUACAGAGACACGGACCAGACUCCUACGGGAGGCAGCAGUGAGGAAUAUUGGUCAAUGGGUGCAAGCCUGAACCAGCCAUCCCGCGUGAAGGACGACUGCCCUAUGGGUUGUAAACUUCUUUUGUAUAGGGAUAAACCUACCCUCGUGAGCGUAGCUGAAGGUACUAUACGAAUAAGCACCGGCUAACUCCGUGCCAGCCGCCGCCGUAAGAC